AUUCUUACCUUUACUGUCUUCGUCUCUCAGGUGGGGGAAAAGGGAUAUAGAAGCAUAUAGUCUAAGCUGGGAGUUAAAAACACUAGGUUAAAAUCCUAGCUUUGCUACUGAAUAGCUGUGUGACCUUAGGCAAUUUACUUAACCUCUCUGAGUCUCUGUAAAAUGGAGGGAAAAAAUGCUUCUCUGGAAGAGUGGUUAAAUACUUGAAAGAGGCAAUGUAACUGUCUUAUGCCUAGAGCAUAGUAGGUGCUUAACAAACAGUAGCUUAUUUCUGGCAUUAUAAUUAGAUGAGGGGAAGGUCCCUCCUAGCACAGACCCUGGAAGAUUCUAUGACUCAGGGAGUGGGCAGAUUGCAUCCAUGGUCCCUGCCCUCAUUUGUAGCUACCUGAAGGGCCUGUCUCAGCAAUAAAAACAGCCAAGUGAGCACAGGCAGAGAAACAUCAUUUCCUCCUCCUCUUGAGGGCAGGAGUCCAGGCGCAGCCCCAGCAGCAGGCAUCCCUCUUCAGGAAGGAGCUUCCUGUGUUUUCUCUGGGAACUCACCUGUUUUCCACUCCAGACUCUCCAAGAUAUGCAGAGCUUUGGGCCAGGAUCCUACAGCCACGGGUCAUGCAGAGCCAGUUGGCCACAUCCUUUGGGCCAAAUUUGGUCCUAACCAGGUCUUACCACGGUAACUGCUAACCAGUCCAUCUUCAGUUAAUAUUUCAUGCGUAAGAUGUUUCAUGAAGUAACUGAAUGGGCUAAUGGGUUGUUCACUGGAUAAGACUCCCAGAUACUCCCUUUCAUGCCAUUCCCCAGAAUUCCUUCACCUCCCAGUGCUGUCUGUAAGGGUGAAGAUACUCCAUUUUGCCCCAUGCUCUUUGCUGUGCCCCAGAUAGGCUCAAACAUUUUUCCCUUUUGGGGAUUUUGCAGGUAGGAAUUGUUGAACAUCUUACCAUUUAAUCCAGAAGUUAUGUCCUUUAAGGAAUCGACCCUGAGCCUGUGAGUUUUACUUUGGGUUGGGGGUGAAGGAGUGGACCUUGCAGCAUUCAAGGUCAUCCAAGAUCAUCCAGUUAAGGCCCCUAAGGUCACUACGGGGGGAAAAGCCUGGUGAGGGAAGAGAAAGCAUUAGGGGGAGCUGCACCGUGCUGAGAAAUAACACCACACAGAAGUCUGUGUUCUAAUCUCAGCUCUGCUUUGCAUUACUGUGUGACCUGGAGCUGAUCACAGCCCUCUGAGUCUUAAAGGGGUUGGACAAGGCCAACUAAACAUUAGAAACACCUGAAAGUGCUGGUUAAAAGGAAGAAUGCAUGAGCUUCACUCCAGAUUUACUAUAUCAGAAUUUCCAGGGUCAGGGUCCAAGAAUCUGCAUGUUUAAUACGCUUUCCACAUGAUUUUUCCCCCCUCUGGACUUAAGAAAACAAUGGGCAAGUCAGCUCAUGAAGAACUUUUCAGAUAUUCAGACUAUUAUUCUGAGAGAGAAAAUAUUGGCAGAGAACAGAUGGGAUUUUUCUCAAGGAAAAGAAAUGGAAAUCCUACAUCUUGCAAGAAAUAGAAAAAAAUAAAUAAACUGUUUGAAGAAGAAUCACAUCAGGCUGGCAGGAGAGAGCCUGCGGCUCGGUGUCUGACCCAGAAUGUUAAAGCCAGCCUGGCUUGGCUCCAGGAUAAAGGACACUCUGUCAGCCUCUCCACAUUGAUUCAUCUCCCCAGCCCCAAGAUCAGGAGAGCAUUCUGUUCCUUGAAGCAUUUUAUGACUGUAAGUCAGAAGUGCUGCAGUUUUAAUAAAAAGCUGUAUUGUCCU
ensembl:lncRNA novel transcript